UCUUUUAUCUUUUAAAGACCUAGUAAUAGGUAUGCUUUAGGAGGGGCUUGCGCCAUAUUAGUUAGUUGGUAGGGUAAUGGCCUACCAAGACGAUGAUGUGUAGCUGGACUGAGAGGUUGAACAGCCACAUUGGGACUGAGACACGGCCCAAACUCCUACGGGAGGCAGCAGUAGGGAAUUUUCGGCAAUGGAGGAAACUCUGACCGAGCAACGCCGCGUGAAUGACGAAGUACUUCGGUAUGUAAAGUUCUUUUAUCAAGGAAGAAAAGCAAAUGGCGAACCAUUUGUUUGCCGGUACUUGAUGAAUAAGCCCCGGCUAAUUAUGUGCCAGCAGCCGCGGUAAGACAUAAGGGGCAAGUGUUAUCCGGAAUUAUUGGGCGUAAAGGGUGCGUAGGCGGUCUAGUAAGUCAGUGGUGUAAUGGCAACGCUUAACGUUGUCCGGCUAUUGAAACUGCUAAACUUGAGUUAGAUAGAGGCGAGUGGAAUUCCAUGUGUAGCGGUAAAAUGCGUAAAUAUAUGGAGGAACACCUGAGGCGUAGGCGGCUCGCUGGGUCUUAACUGACGCUGAGGCACGAAAGCGUGGGGAGCAAACAGGAUUAGAUACCCUGGUAGUCCACGCCGUAAACGAUGAGUACUAAGUGUCGGGUUAAACCGGUACUGAAGUUAACACAUUAAGUACUCCGCCUGAGUAGUACGUACGCAAGUAUGAAACUUAAAGGAAUUGACGGGACUCCGCACAAGCGGUGGAUCAUGUUGUUUAAUUCGAAGAUACCCGAAAAACCUUACCAGGUCUUGACAUGUUUUUGCAAAAUGAUAGUAAUAUCGUGGAGGUUACCAGAAACACAGGUGGUGCAUGGUUGUCGUCAGCUCGUGUCGUGAGAUGUUAGGUUAAGUCCUAAAACGAGCGAAACCCUUAUCGUUAGUUGCCAGCACGUUAUGGUGGGGACUUUAACGAGACUGCCAAUGAUAAAUUGGAGGAAGGUGAGGAUCACGUCAAAUCAGCAUGCCCCUUAUGACCUGGGCUACAAACGUGAUACAAUGGCUGUUACAAAGGGUAGCUGAAACGCAAGUUCUUGGCCAAUCCCCAAAAACAGUCCCAGUCCGGAUUGAAGUCUGCAACUCGACUUCAUGAAGUUGGAAUCGCUAGUAAUCGCGAAUCAG
rnacentral:rRNA from 1 species